rnacentral:rRNA from 1 species
CAAUAGCGUAUAUUUAAGUUGUUGCAGUUAAAAAGCUCGUAGUUGGAUUUCGGUUAAGAGCGACCGGUCCGCCGUUUGGUGUGCACUGGUUGGUUUUAACUUCCUGUAGAGGACGUGCUCUGGGUUUAACGACCUGGACUCGGAGUCUACGUGGUUACUUUGAAAAAAUUAGAGUGUUCAAAGCGGGCUUACGCUUGAAUAUUUCAGCAUGGAAUAACACUAUAGGACUCCUGUCCUAUUUCGUUGGUCUCGGGACGGGAGUAAUGAUUAAGAGGAACAGUUGGGGGCAUUCGUAUUUCAUUGUCAGAGGUGAAAUUCUUGGAUUUAUGAAAGACGAACUUCUGCGAAAGCAUUUGCCAUGGAUGUUUUCAUUAA